UACGUAGGGACCGAGCGUUGUCCGGAUUCAUUGGGCGUAAAGAGCUCGUAGGCGGCCACUCAAGUCGAAUGUGAAACCUCGAGGCUUAACCUCGAGCCUGCAUUCGAUACUGGGCGGCUAGAGUCUGGUAGGGGGAUCUGGAAUUCCUGGUGUAGCGGUGGAAUGCGCAGAUAUCAGGAGGAACACCGGUGGCGAAGGCGGGUCUCUGGGCAACAACUGACGCCGAGGAGCGAAAGCGUGGGGAGCGAACAGG
rnacentral:rRNA from 1 species